AUGGCUCCGACGUGGCUCCCCGCGGUGCUGGUCACGGCGCUGGUCGGAGGUACCUUUGGGGCCGACUCCGUGAACCAAACUGAAGGCAGCGUCGUCAUCUCCCAAGGGGACCCGCUGCGGCUAAAUUGCACCUACCAAUUCUCUUUUCUCACUUCUUCUCCCAAUCUCUUCUGGUACGUGCAAUAUCCCGGAGAGACCCUCCGGAUGCUCCUGCGGGACCUGGGCAGGCAGGACUCAGACGAAGGGAUCCGAAAAGGGUUCAGUGCCGCCCACGAGAAAGAGAACAAAUCCUUCCACCUCUGGAAAGCGUCCGUCGACCUGAGCGACUCCGCCACCUAUUACUGCGCAGGGAGUGACACAGUGACACCGGCCGGCAGCAGCGCCGCGCAAAAACCGCGCAGAGGAUGA